rnacentral:rRNA from 1 species
AUGGACGGUGGCAGUGGCCUGAAUAUACUGUAUGCAGAGACGUUGAAGGGAAUGGGUAUUCCAAUGUCCAGACUCAGUGAAAGCAAUAUAAGUUUCCAUGGGGUCAUUCCAGGCAAGAAGGCUGCAUCCCUCGGUCAGAUUGCUCUCGACGUGGUUUUCGGUGAUUCCAAAAAUUACCGCAAAGAAAAGUUGACAUUUGAAGUUGUGGAUUUCCAGAGUGCCUAUCAUUCCAUUCUGGGCAGGCCAGCUUAUGCACGUUUUAUGGCUCGACCAUGUUACGUGUACCUCAAAUUGAAGAUGCCUGGUCCCAAAGGGGUGAUCACUAUCUCUGGUAAUCGGAAGAAGGCAGAAGAGUGCUUCCAGAAGGGCUCAAAAAUCGCCGAUGCUCAGAUGGCCGUGGUAGAAUUGCAAGAAUACCAGAAAAAUGCAGAUCCGAGUGAUUUGUUGCGAGCCAAGAAGCCAGCCACAGAUUCAGCAUUCCAGUCGUCUGGUGAAACGAAGUCGAUUCACAUUCACCCGACAGACCCCAAUGCUGCUCCGACUCACAUUUCAACCACACUCGACUCCAAAUAG